ensembl:misc_RNA Metazoa_SRP Metazoan signal recognition particle RNA
GCUGGACAUAGUGGUGUGUCCCUGUAAUCCCAGCUACUUGGGAGUCUGAGGCAGGAGAAUUUCUUGGGUCCAGGAGUUCUGGGCUGUAGUGAGCUAUGUGGCUGAGGUGUCUGCACUAAGUUUGGCAUUAACACAGUGACCUCCAGCAGCAGAGGACCAGCAGGCUGCCUAAGGAGGGAUGAACCAUUUAAGGAUGAAAAUAGAGCAAGUCAAACUCCUGUGCUAAUCAGUAGUGGGAUUAUGCAUGCGAAUAGCCACUACACUCCAGCCUGGGCAACAGAGAGAGACUCAAUCUCCU